rnacentral:rRNA from 1 species
GUUAGUGACAAUAGAGGAGAGGAUACACUCAGUUCCAUUCCGAACCUGAAAGUUAAGUUCUCCAUCGCCGAUAAUACUGCCCCCUACGGGGGUGGGAAUGUAGGUCGUCGCUAACU